UACGGAAGGCAGCAGUGGGGAAUAUUGCACAAUGGGCGCAAGCCUGAUGCAGCCAUGCCGCGUGUAUGAAGAAGGCCUUCGGGUUGUAAAGUACUUUCAGUCGUGAGGAAGGUGUUAAGGUUAAUAACCUUAGCAAUUGACGUUAGCGACAGAAGAAGCACCGGCUAACUCCGUGCCAGCAGCCGCGGUAAUACGGAGGGUGCGAGCGUUAAUCGGAAUUACUGGGCGUAAAGGGCACGCAGGCGGUUAAUUAAGUUGGAUGUGAAAUCCCCGGGCUUAACCUGGGAAUGGCAUUCAAGACUGGUUAGCUAGAGUCUUGUAGAGGGGGUAGAAUUCCAUGUGUAGCGGUGAAAUGCGUAGAGAUGUGGAGGAAUACCGGUGGCGAAGGCGGCCCCUGGGACAAAGGACUGACGCUCAUGUGCGAAAGCGUGGGGAGCAAA
rnacentral:rRNA from 1 species